CCGCACCCCAGCCCGUCAUCUCUGUCAUUUGGAUGGAGCUCCCUUCUAGAAGCUGUCACCUUGGUCCCUGUGGGUGAGGUCAAAGGUCAGGAAUGAAGGAGUGGAGCAGAGCCACCGUGCAGCCCUGAACUGCUAACAUUUGGCCUUUCGUGUGAAAGAGAACCAAGCAGCUGCCUGUUCGAGCCAUUGUUACUUGUAGGCAAAUCCAGUCUUCACUGAUGAGCAAGAGUGGAAUCCUCCGCAGCCGUGAAGACGGGUCCCGAGCCAGAAACCAACAUGGGUGAAAGAAGCCGGAAGUGAAGGAAUACACGCGCUGAAUGAUUCCAUCCUAGGACAGACCCGAACAGGCAAAACUAGGAUACUGUCCGAGACUUGGGCAAGCAUCACCCCGUCCAGUUCUGGAACCUUUUCAUCUUUUCAACUUUCAUACCCCGGAAAGUGAACAGGUACCUGCUAACAGUCACUCCCCGGCUGCCCCCACUCUCCCAGCCCCGGGCAGUCACGAUUCUCCGGUCCGAGUUACCCACUCUCGCCGCGUGUCUGCAGGUUAGAUUUAAACUGAAAUGUACAAGGCGCUGAAUGAAAUAACCACAGGCCACGGGCAGACACUACCCUACGCCCCUCACUUCUGUGUCCCGCACUCGUCUGUGUUCUUCGGUCAAUCACCUGCCUGGCCCCGGAGGCAUUCAAAGCUGUGGCUCCUGGGAUAGAUGAUCCGAGGGUGUUUUCCAGUGGGAAUAUCCCUUGUUUCUCAUUUCUCCCGCAUGGGAGCAGGGCCGGGUCCAACCAUCCUUUAAUGGAGACGGGAGGUGAAGAUCCGUUUGACAGCCAGUCUCCUGCAUCUAAGCUGCGGCUUUCCCCGGACAGCGAUGUGCCUCCGGAUGGAGUCAUUUCUCCGGACCCCUUCACCGGCCCCCACCUGCUGCUCUGGAUGAGUGGAAGAACUGUGUCCCCAUGCCUGUCGCCACCCCCAUGGGCCUGGCCAGGGGAGCCCAGCACCAGGCAGGACACAGAAGGACAAGUCGGGGAAGGGAACAGAGAGUUGUGCGUCUGGGCAGUUUGGGGACCUGAGUGCCUGGGCUGGGGUCCAGCGGAAGGUUUGUUCUCUUGGCUGAUCCAAAGUUAAAAACCGGCAGCCAGCAAAUGACCAUUUGCGAGGCACCAGCACUUCAUCCUUGUAACACAGCCUGAAGGUAGGAAUCGGUAUCCCGUGUCCCCCGCGGAUGGGAAAACCGAGGCUCUGAAAGAUGCCCUGAGCCAGGGGCUUAAAACAAUUUGUGAUUUUCUCUCGGUUCGGGGGCCAGCUGGAGUUCAGCUGGAUGGUUCUGUGGGUCCCACCUGAGUCCAGUCCCGCAGCUGGGAGCUUGGCACAGAGCUCGGCCGGGGCUGGAAUGUCCAAGGUGGCUGUUCUCCGGGACUCUCUCCGCGGGGCCCCUCCUCACAGCUUGGCAGCCGGGCUCUGAGAGAGGAGGUGAGAGCGGCUGAUUUUCUCCUUUUCACUGUAUGUGCUAUUGGGUUAACGAAGUCACAAACCAGCCCAAGGGGCCACUUUUUUUUUUAAUUUUUAAAAAA